CCUACGGGUGGCAGCAGUGAGGAAUAUUGGUCAAUGGACGGAAGUCUGAACCAGCCAUGCCGCGUGAAGGACGAAGGUGCCAAGCAUUGUAAACUUCUUUUGUCAAGGGACAAAAUCAGGCUCGAGAGCCUGACCGAGGGUACUUGAAGAAAAAGCAUCGGCUAACUCCGUGCCAGCAGCCGCGGUAAUACGGAGGAUGCGAGCGUUAUCCGGAUUUAUUGGGUUUAAAGGGUGUGUAGGCGGACUGUUAAGUCAGCGGUAAAAGCCCGGGGCUCAACCCCGGCGAGCCGUUGAAACUGGCUGUCUUGAGAUGUCGAGAGGUAUGCGGAAUGCGCAGUGUAGCGGUGAAAUGCUUAGAUAGUGCGCAGAACUCCGAUUGCGAAGGCAGCAUACCGGCGGCGAUCUGACGCUGAGGCACGAAAGCGUGGGUAUCGAACAGGAUUAGAUACCCUAGUAGUC
rnacentral:rRNA from 1 species